rnacentral:tRNA from 1 species
AGCUCAGUGGACAGAGCACUGGCUUUGCGGACCAGGGACAGUGAGUUCAAACCUCAC